rnacentral:rRNA from 1 species
UACGUAGGGUGCGAGCGUUGUCCGGAAUUAUUGGGCGUAAAGAGCUUGUAGGCGGUUUGUCGCGUCUGCUGUGAAAAUCCGGGGCUCAACCCCGGACUUGCAGUGGGUACGGGCAGACUGGAGUGUGGUAGGGGGAGACUGGAAUUCCUGGUGUAGCGGUGGAAUGCGCAGAUAUCAGGAGGAACACCUAUGGCGAAGGCAGCUCGCUGGGACGGUACUGACGCUGAGACGCGAAAGCGUGGGGAGCAAACAGG